rnacentral:lncRNA from 1 species
UCCGGAACAAGUAGACUGAUACUUUCUGCAUCUACUACUAUUACUCCACACGUCGACCGCUAUCCAACAUGCAUCUAGUGUAUUAAGUCCAAAAGAACAAAGUAACGCCUUAAGCAAGAUGACAUGAUGUAGAUGGACAAUCUCAUAUCUACAACAGAGCCCACCUUUUUACCCUUGGUGGCAACUACACAAUGUGUGCCUUGCUGCCCCUACUGUCACUGGGAAAGGUCACCACACGGU